rnacentral:rRNA from 1 species
GAUGAACGCUGGCGGCGUGCCUAAUACAUGCAAGUCGAGCGAACGGACGAGAAGCUUGCUUCUCUGAUGUUAGCGGCGGACGGGUGAGUAACACGUGGAUAACCUACCUAUCCGACAGGGAUAACUUCGGGAAACCGGAGCUAAUACCGGAUAAUAUUUUGCACCGCAUGGUUCAAAAGUGAAAGACGGUCUUGCGGUCGCUUAUAGAUGGAUCCGCGCUGCAUUAGCUAGUUGGUAAGGUAACGGCUUACCAAGGCAACGAUGCAUAGCCGACCUGAGCGGGUGAUCGGCCACACUGGAACUGAGGCACGGCCCAGACUCCUACGGUAGGCAACAGUAGGGAAUCUUCCGCGAUGCGCGAGAGCCUGACAGAGCAACACCGCGUGAGUGAUGAAGGUCUUCGGAUCGUAAAACUCUGUUAUUAGUGAAGAACAUAUGUGUAAUUAACUGUGCACAUCAUGACGGUACCUAAUCAGAAAGCCACGGCUAACUACGUG